UCACGUGGUCCUGUCGCGCGUCACGUGGCUGCCAUCGCCGGUCACGUGGCCGCCGGCGCGGGUCACGAGAACAAACACGGGGGCAGCCGGCGCUUCCCGGCCGGUGUCGCUCCGCGGCGGGCCAUGGCCAACGUCUCUAAGAAGGUGUCGUGGUCCGGCCGGGACCGGGACGACGAGGAGGCGGCGCCGCUGCUGCGGAGGACGGCGCGGCCCGGCGGGGGGACGCCGCUGCUGAACGGGGCUGGGCCCGGGGCUGCGCGCCAGGAUAUGGACCCUCCACAUCCCUUCCCCAAGGAGAUCCCACACAACGAGAAGCUCCUGUCCCUCAAGUAUGAGAGCUUGGACUAUGACAACAGUGAGAACCAGCUGUUCCUGGAGGAGGAGCGGCGGAUCAACCACACGGCCUUCCGGACGGUGGAGAUCAAGCGCUGGGUCAUCUGCGCCCUCAUCGGGAUCCUCACGGGCCUCGUGGCCUGCUUCAUUGACAUUGUGGUGGAAAACCUGGCUGGCCUCAAGUACAGGGUCAUCAAGGGCAGUAUCCUUCCUGGUACGGCCGGUGCAGCUUGGGAGGGGGGCGUGACC
rnacentral:sRNA from 1 species